rnacentral:lncRNA from 1 species
AUCAUAAUAUUAUUUAGUUGAUAUAUAUCUAAAACAGUAUCUCUGAUAUAUCAUAUAAUUUCUCUAAUCACGGAAGAUUUUAACAUCUAACUACGUGCUUAGCAUAAGAUGAGUGAGUGACUAUUUUCGAUUACAAAUUGAGAACCCGAGGGUGGAGAGAGAGAGAGCGUGUGUGUGAUGUGUAUUGAAAGAAUAAUGAUGGGGUUGAAGCCACGUGGGGACAAACGAGAUUCCUAUCUUGAACACCCAAUCAACUCAUUCCCUAAGUUAGCAUAACAGCUCGUUAACACCGUGGCAUUUCCAUACCAUACGGUUCAUUCUCAUUCUUUUAAUUCCAAGUUUCCAACCCCACCUGUAAUUCCUAUCCUAUCCCCACUUCACUCCAUAAUUUGAUCUCACCCCGCCCCUAUCUUCUCUUACCAAUCAAGGCCAGUUUCGUAAUCGCACUUAUGACAACCCAAACAACCAUGUUCUCCUCCGCCCCCGAGCCGCCCUCUUAUUCCAAAACUACCCUUACAUUUAUGUGAUAGGAUAGGAUUACGCUUACUUUUGACUCAAAAUAGAGACAAAUGUAGAAAAUUAUAAUUUUCGUUGAGAACUAAAAAUAUCUAAUCAAGUAUUAUGUAUUUAUCCAAUUUAUCUAAGAAUAUAUUUUAAUAAAACUUAAAUA